AUCCUGGCUCAGGAUGAACGCUAGCUACAGGCUUAACACAUGCAAGUCGAGGGGCAGCAUUGGGAUAGCUUGCUAUUCAGAUGGCGACCGGCGCACGGGUGAGUAACGCGUAUCCAACCUUCCUGCCAGUAGGGAACAGCCCGGCGAAAGUCGGAUUAAUGCCCUAUGUUCUUCAAUGCGGACAUCUAAGUUGAAGGAAAGAUUCAUCGCUGGCAGAUGGGGAUGCGUCCGAUUAGCUUGCCGGCGGGUAACGGCCACCGGGCGACGAUCGGUAGGGGUUCUGAGAGGAAGGUCCCCCACACUGGUACUGAGACACGGACCAGACUCCUACGGGAGGCAGCAGUGAGGAAUAUUGGUCAAUGGGCGUAAGCCUGAACCAGCCAAGUAGCGUGCAGGAAUGACGGCCCUACGGGUUGUAAACUGCUUUUAUGCGGGGAUAAAGUGCGGCACGUGUGCCGCUUUGCAGGUACCGCAUGAAUAAGGACCGGCUAAUUCCGUGCCAGCAGCCGC
rnacentral:rRNA from 1 species